rnacentral:rRNA from 1 species
UGGUGGAGUGAUUUGUCUGGUUAAUUCCGAUAACGAACGAGACUCUAGCUUACUAAAUAGACAAAUCAUUUUGGUGAUGUGUUCUUCUUAGGAGGACUGGUAGCUUCUAGCUACACGAGAUUGAGCAAUAACA